rnacentral:rRNA from 1 species
CGGCUGGCGGCAGCUUACCAUGCAGUCGAGCGGAAACGAUACCAGCUUGCUGGUAGGCGUCGAGCGGCGGACAGGUGAGUAAUACUUAGGAAUCUACCUAGUAGCGGGGGAUAGCUCGGGGAAACUCGAAUUAAUACCGCAUACGACCUACGGGAGAAGGGGGCAGUUUACUGCUCUCGCUAUUAGAUGAGCCUAAGUCGGAUUAGCUAGAUGGUGGGGUAAAGGCCUACCAUGGCGACGAUCUGUAGCUGGUCUGAGAGGAUGAUCAGCCACACCGGGACUGAGACACGGCCCGGACUCCUACGGGAGGCAGCAGUGGGGAAUAUUGGACAAUGGGGGAAACCCUGAUCCAGCCAUGCCGCGUGUGUGAAGAAGGCCUUUUGGUUGUAAAGCACUUUAAGCAGUGAAGAAGACUCCUCGGUUAAUACCCGUGGACGAUGACAUUAGCUGCAGAAUAAGCACCGGCUAACUCUGUGCCAGCAGCCGCGGUAAUACAGAGGGUGCAAGCGUUAAUCGGAAUUACUGGGCGUAAAGCGAGCGUAGGUGGCUUGAUAAGUCAGAUGUGAAAUCCCCGGGCUUAACCUGGGAACUGCAUCUGAAACUGUUAGGCUAGAGUAGGUGAGAGGAAGGUAGAAUUCCAGGUGUAGCGGUGAAAUGCGUAGAGAUCUGGAGGAAUACCGAUGGCGAAGGCAGCCUUCUGGCAUCAUACUGACACUGAGGCUCGAAAGCGUGGGUAGCAAACAGGAUUAGAUACCCUGAUAGUCCACGCCGUAAACGAUGUCUACUAGUCGUUGGGUCCCUUGAGGACUUAGUGACGCAGCUAACGCAAUAAGUAGACCGCCUGGGGAGUACGGCCGCAAGGUUAAAACUCAAAUGAAUUGACGGGGGCCCGCACAGCGGUGGAGCAUGUGUUUAUUCGAUGCAACGCGAAGACCUUACCUGUCUUGACUAUCUAGAAUCCUGCAGAGAUGCGGA